CUGCCCGUUCGCCAUGUUGGAUGUUGCGCGUCAGUGUCGUUAAGUUCUUAAUUUAUCGUUUUAGUAACGUUUAAGUUUGUUUUACGGGAUUAAAUUUAUCUUUUGUUUGUGUGAUGAUAAUCACAAUUGAUGCACGGGAUUUCUGAUAGUGAAAAGAAAAGGAUUACUGUAAAAAUUCGCAAUAUGAAAAGGAGCCCCAGCCGUGAUACACCGCCAUUGAGAAGCAAGAGAUCUCGUUCGAGCAUCGGAAGAUACGAUGAUAGUUCUGAUGAGCGAAUAACACCGGAAAGAAUUCGACGACGAAGUCGUGGCCGUUCACCUCCAAGCCCUAGAAGAUAUACGUCAGAUUCUCAUCGAGACGAGUAUGCUCGCUCAAGGGAUGUGGAAAGGUCCUAUCACAGUUAUAAGGUUUUGUGUGUCAGUGCCUUACAUCCCAAAGCUAGCGAUGAGCUUAUUAAGGAUACUCUGUACCGGGAAUAUAAAAAGUUUGGUGAUUUAAGCAUAAGGAUAUCUCAUGACUUAGAUGAACGUGUUGCUUAUGUUUGUUUUCGGAGUUCUGAUGAUGCAAGAGAUGCCAAACACAGCAAGCCUAGGAUAAUUCUUUUUGACAAGGUCGCUUUGGUUGAACCUGUGUAUGAAAGUAGUCGCAGUUCGAGUGAUAUCUAUCGAAGUCGUAGUAGGCCUAGAUCAAGGAGUUUAUCUCCAGAUUAUGACCGUUACUAUCAUCGCUCUCCUGGACCAGACAGACACCGCCCCCCUCCUGACCGAAGCUAUGAAAGAUUGUAUGGACCGCCACCAGUCUUGCCACACAGGGAUUUCAGAAGAGAAGGACCGCCUCUACCACACCAUGACUUUAUUAGAGGACCCCCUGUCCAUCAUGGACCUCCUCCACAUAUGCCACCAGGACCUCCUCAUCAUUACGGCCCUCCUCGUCACAUGGUACAUGGAUUCAAACCCCCGCCUCCACACUUUGAGAAGACUGAAAACAAAAAAGAUAAAUUCCCUAAUUAUCUUCAUCAUGUCCCCCCAGAAGAUGAUCCUUUAGCGACUAGGACUUUAUUCGCUGGUAAUCUCGAGAUUAAUAUAUCUGAAGAAGAACUAAGAAGAAUAUUUGGACGAUAUGGCGUUGUUGAGGAUAUUGACAUCAAAAGACCACUCCCCGGAACAGGUAAUGCAUACGCUUUUGUACGUUACCAGAAUCUUGAUAUGGCCCAUCGCUCCAAAGUAGAACUCUCUGGUCAGUAUAUAGGAAAGUUUCAAUGUAAAAUUGGUUAUGGAAAAGCGACUCCCACUACUCGAAUUUGGGUUGGUGGUCUUGGACCUUGGACUUCUUUAUCUCAACUAGAGAGAGAGUUUGAUAGAUUUGGUGCAAUCAAGAAAAUAGACUAUAUUAAAGGAGAGACCUGUGCUUAUAUUUUGUAUGAUUCCAUCGACGCUGCUCAAGCUGCUGUUAAAGAAAUGAGAGGAUUCCCACUAGGUGGCCCAGAUCGCAAGUUAAGGGUCGAUUUUGCUGAUGUUAACCCACCUUAUCCCUACAAACCUAGACCUUUCCCUGAUGACAUGGCUGGUGGUGAUUUUAGAGUUAGAGUUCCAGGAAGAGAAGACUUUCCUUAUGAGCCACCUUACGGUGAACCUUGGCCUGAAGGAGAGUUCGGAAUGGCAAGGGGAUUUCGUGGUCGAGGAGGUGGACCUUGGCAAGAUAGGCGUGGUGGUGGUCGAGGUGGUUAUAGAGGAUCAGGAUAUCCUGGAGAAGGGUUUAGUAAAGAUGACCCUGAUUGGCCUGGUGGACGCAGACCAGAUGGUGAAUAUGAUGGGAGGUCAUUCAAACGUGGAUCUGGUGAGCCUGGAAAUCGUUCUACUUCACGUUCUCCACGUCGUCAUUCUGUGGAAAGCGACUCUGGAUCAGAGGGACGCCCAAAUGGUGUUUUAGGCUCAGCUAGAACUUUGCCGGAAUUGGCCCGAAAGUGUAUUGCCAUGUGGCAAGGUGCACUUAUUCUGAAGAACUCGCUGUUUCCUGCCAAAUUUCAUCUGACGGAUGGAGACACAGAAAUUGUUGACAGCCUAAUGAAAGAUGAAGAAGGAAAGCAUUUGCUUCGCAUAACACAACGGCUCAGACUUGACCCUCCAAAAUUAGAAGAUGUAUCAAAACGCAUUGCAACCUCCAGCUCUCACGCCAUAUUUCUGGGACUUUCAGGUUCAUCUGCUUCGGUUUCCACUGAAGAUACAUCAGUUCAAACUAGGCCCCUCAGGAAUCUUGUUUCUUACCUAAAGCAGAAAGAAGCUGCUGGGGUAAUAUCAUUGGUCAAUAAAGAUACUGAAACGACUGGUGUUUUGUAUGCAUUUCCACCAUGUGCAUUUUCCACGGAACUGCUAAAGAGAACUGCCCACAACCUGUCUGAUGAGGGUUUGAAAGAAGAUCAUCUGGUUAUAGUGGUGGUUCGAGGCGGCACUGCUUAAACCUUGGAAUCAGUAGGCCUACGAGUAUGAAUUACAUUAUGAUACCUACUUAAGCUACCAUAUCGGUUUUGUGAAGUCGGGGGCGAUUCCUUGUGGACUACCAAGUGGUGAAGUUAUUGUGACCAGUUUAUGAAGCUUUUGUCGGUGUUUCAUCUGUGUUUGUGCGCAAUGGACUAAUAUCAUUAUCAACGCUAAGUGUUUAAACAUUUUGAUCAAACGAUUGUUUAGAUCUUUGAUGUUUGACGGUCAGGUGUAAAGAAAUUGAUUUUACUGUAAAUUAUUGUGACAAUGCUUGUUUACGUUUUGUUCAGUUUUCUUAUAUUUUCAAGAAUAAUAUAUUAUUGAUUAUAAACUAAUAUCUAGGUAUAAGUAGGAAUUCAAUCUCUCUUUUUUGACAUUUUUUUUGUUGUUCGAAACAUUUAAUUUAAAUCAUGUGUUAAGUGAUUUACUCAAAGUUUUAUCUAUUUACAAGUUAAUUAAUUUUUCCUGUAGACCAGCUGUUAAAAGUGCAGUGUGAUGUGUAUUUUAUUAGUGUGUAGGAAGUUGUCAAAUAGAGUUUGGUUCUAAACUA